UUGACCUCAAAUCGGACUUAAGCAUAUCAAUA
rnacentral:rRNA from 1 species